rnacentral:tRNA from 1 species
CCUGAUGGCUCAGAGGUUAAAGCGUCUGCCUACAAUGCGGGAGACCCGGGUUCAAUCCCUGGGUCAGGA